rnacentral:rRNA from 1 species
UACGUAGGGCGCAAGCGUUGUCCGGAAUUAUUGGGCGUAAAGAGCUCGUAGGCGGUUUGUCGCGUCGGAUGUGAAAGCCCGGGGCUUAACUCCGGGUCUGCAUUCGAUACGGGCAGACUAGAGUGUGGUAGGGGAGAUCGGAAUUCCUGGUGUAGCGGUGAAAUGCGCAGAUAUCAGGAGGAACACCCGUGGCGAAAGCGGCUCUCUGGGACGGUACUGACGCUGAGACGCGAAAGCGUGGGGAGCAAACAGG